AUGAACGCUGGCGGCGUGCCUAAUACAUGCAAGUCGAGCGCACGGACGAGAAGCUUGCUUCUCUGAUGUUAGCGGCGGACGGGUGAGUAACACGUGGAUAACCUACCUAUAAGACUGGGAUACUUCGGGAAACCGUAGCUAAUACCGGAUAAUAUUUUGAACCGCAUGGUUCAAAAGUGAAAGACGGUCUUGCUGUCACUUAUAGAUGGAUCCGCGCUGCAUUAGCUAGUUGGUAAGGUAACGGCUUACCAAGGCAACGAUGCAUAGCCGACCUGAGAGGGUGAUCGGCCACACUGGAACUGAGACACGGUCCAGACUCCUACGGGAGGCAGCAGUAGGGAAUCUUCCGCAAUGGGCGAAAGCCUGACGGAGCAACGCCGCGUGAGUGAUGAAGGUCUUCGGAUCGUAAAACUCUGUUAUUAGGGAAGAACAUAUGUGUAAGUAACUGUGCACAUCUUGACGGUACCUAAUCAGAAAGCCACGGCUAACUACGUG
rnacentral:rRNA from 1 species